GACGAACGCUGGCGGCGUGCUUAACACAUGCAAGUCGAACGGAAAGGCCCUGCUUUUGUGGGGUGCUCGAGUGGCGAACGGGUGAGUAACACGUGAGUAACCUGCCCUUGACUUUGGGAUAACUUAAGGAAACUGGGGCUAAUACCGGAUAGGAUCUCCUGCUGCAUGGUGGGGGUUGGAAAGUUUCGGCGGUUGGGGAUGGAAUCGCGGCUUAUCAGCUUGUUGGUGGGGUAGUGGCUUACCAAGGCUUUGACGGGUAGCCGGCCUGAGAGGGUGACCUGCCACAUUGGGACUGAGAUGCGGCCCAGACUCCUACGGGAGGCAGCAGUGGGGAAUAGUGCACAAUGGGCUGAAGCCUGAUGCAGCAACGCCGCGUGCGGGAUGACGGCCUUCGGGUUGUAAACCGCUUUCGCCUGUGACGAGGCGAGAGUGACGGUAAUGGGUAAAGAAGCACCGGCUAACUACGUG
rnacentral:rRNA from 1 species